GCUCCAAAAGUGUGGCCCGUUCUUCACCUGGCAGCUGCUGAUCAUGUGGAUGGCGGUACUGGGAACCGUGGUUUUCGUCUGCAGCUUCGGAGCGUUUCGACACUAUUUAGUGGAGCGGACGGGUGAAGGACCUGACAAGGCAAAGGAACGAUCCUGGAAAAAUAUACGCGCUGCGAGGAACCACCGACCAC
rnacentral:lncRNA from 1 species